GUAUUGAGGAUCAUUUUCAACUUAGAUGAGUAGAUGAUGCAAUUACCCAAGAUGAAGACAAUUGAAAUAGAAACAGGAUUGGAGAUGACAAGUUCAGUGUUAGCCAUGCUGAAUUUAAGCAUGAAUGUUACUUCCAAGUGUUGAAGUAUGGCAGGAAUUUGGAAAUACAGCUCUAAAUUUUGGAAAAAAAUUUCUAUACUGUUAAAAAAGAUGUGAAGUCAUUAGUAUACAUAUUUUAGUUAAAGCCAGAGAGAAUGUAAAUAAUUAACAGAAAAAAAACUAAGGAUAGAAGAGCAAAACAUUUGUCUUUAAGGAAUGUUGGGGAAAAACAAAUCAAAGAUAAUAUUAAGUAGAAAAACAACAAAAAACCCAAAUAAUAGAAAAUAGUGUCUUGGAAAUCAAGGGCUGGGUGUGUUCCAAGAUGCUAUUUUUUAAUGACAUCAUGAGAAGUGAAAAGAGAAGUCGUAGAGAAGGAAAAGAAGAGUGAUUAAAUAUGUACAUUGCACUUUGAAUCCAGGCAGUCACUGGAAAUUUGCGUGAAAGUAGUUUCUUUGUAAUGGGGAAGAAGGUGGACGGCAAUGCAUGGAGAUUUGAAUAAGAAAAAGGGACAAUGCAUGUAGAAAGCUCAAGAUGCUCAACUUUGAGGAACGGAAACAGAUGGGAAUAUGUUAUAGGAAAUCAUAAAACUGAGGGAGUUGUUUUUUGCUUGAUCCAGUUCCAAAAGAAAUAGUCACACACACAAAAAAAAAAAAGAAGAAAAGAAAAACAAAGAUAAGAAAGAGGAAAAGAGGAAUUAAUCAUGAAGAAGAAGGAUACUCAUUGCAACAAAAUCGUUGAGGAUGUAUGAGGGGUUAGUGUUUGAGCACAGGUAGAGGGAUAAUGUAACGAGGGUGCUGUAACAUGGCCAUUUGUUAGACUGACAGCGUAGGUUGGAGAGCAGGCACUUUUUGCUGAGGCUCACUUAAGGCAUGUGCUGC
rnacentral:lncRNA from 1 species